AUGGAGCCGACCUUGAAAUACCACCCUUUAAUGUUUGAUGUUCUAACGUUGACCCGUAAUCCGGGUUGCGGACAGUGUCUGGUGGGUAGUUUGACUGGGGCGGUCUCCUCCUAAAGAGUAACGGAGGAGCACGAAGGUUGGCUAAUCCUGGUCGGACAUCAGGAGGUUAGUGCAAUGGCAUAAGCCAGCUUGACUGCGAGCGUGACGGCGCGAGCAGGUGCGAAAGCAGGUCAUAGUGAUCCGGUGGUUCUGAAUGGAAGGGCCAUCGCUCAACGGAUAAAAGGUACUCCGGGGAUAACAGGCUGAUACCGCCCAAGAGUUCAUAUCGACGGCGGUGUUUGGCACCUCGAUGUCGGCUCAUCACAUCCUGGGGCUGAAGUAGGUCCCAAGGGUAUGGCUGUUCGCCAUUUAAAGUGGUACGCGAGCUGGGUUUAGAACGUCGUGAGACAGUUCGGUCCCUAUCUGCCGUGGGCGCUGGAGAACUGAGGGGGGCUGCUCCUAGUACGAGAGGACCGGAGUGGACGCAUCACUGGUGUUCGGGUUGUCAUGCCAAUGGCACUGCCCGGUAGCUAAAUGCGGAAGAGAUAAGUGCUGAAAGCAUCUAAGCACGAAACUUGCCCCGAGAUGAGUUCUCCCUGACCCUUUAAG
rnacentral:rRNA from 1 species